rnacentral:rRNA from 1 species
GAUGAACGCUGGCGGCGUGCCUAAUACAUGCAAGUCGAGCGAACAGACGAGGAGCUUGCUCCUCUGACGUUAGCGGCGGACGGGUGAGUAACACGUGGAUAACCUACCUAUAAGACUGGGAUAACUUCGGGAAACCGGAGCUAAUACCGGAUAAUAUAUUGAACCGGAUGGUUCAAUAGUGAAAGACGGUUUUGCUGUCACUUAUAGAUGGAUCCGCGCCGCAUUAGCUAGUUGGUAAGGUAACGGCUUACCAAGGCAACGAUGCGUUGCCGACCUGUGAGGGGGAUCGGCCGCACUGGAACUGGGACACGGUCCAGGCGCCUGCGGGAGGCAGCAGUAGGGAAUCUUCCGCAAUAGUCGAAAGCCUGACGGAGCAACGCCGCGUGAGUGGUGAAGGUCUUCGGAUCGUAAAACUCUGUUAUUAGGGAAGAACAAAUGUGUAAGUAACUAUGCACGUCUUGACGGUACCUAAUCAGAAAGCCACGGCUAACUACGUG